ACAGCUCACUGUAAAGGCAUGUCCUACUGGACAGCUCACUGUAACGGAAUGUCCUACAGGACAGCUCACUGUAAAGUAAUGCCAUACAGGAUAGCUCAAUGUAAAGGAAUGUCCUACAGGACAGCUCACUGUAAAGGAAUGGCCUACAGGACAGCUCACUGUAAAGGAAUGUCAUACAGGACAGCUCACUGUAAAGUAAUGUCAUACAGGAUAGCUCACUGUAAAGUAAUGUCAUACAGGACAGCUCACUGUAAAGGAAUGUCAUACAGGACAGCUCACUGUAAAGGAAUGUCCUACAGGAUAGCUCACUGUAAAGGCGUUCCACAAGUCGAAUAUAUAUAAUAGGAAGGUUUUAAAUUGUGAAAAUAAUUCUUUUUUUAUUGCACGGUAAAUGAAUUACAACAAUCGUAAUGAUCUGUCCACGUAUACCACACGUAAUCUUAUUCAUCGGUAUAUAUAAUCAAACACGAAAUAUAGCAACAAGUACAUAACAAAUCGUCACAAAAUACCACUAAAUAACGUAUGCUAUUAUUCACACUCUGUAUCUUAGACUAAAUUGUUAAACCAGACGUACAAUUGGCAGACUUUAUACAAAAUGCACUUCACGAAAUAUAUAUAAUAACUUUCUGCUGAUUGCUGUAUUUUCACAUUAUUCACAGACGAUGCGCUUCUUGUUAUAUUGUAUUUUAAAAUGAAUAACUAGUAUAUGAACAAUUUGUAAUGAAGAAAUAUGAUUGAGUUUGGUUAGCAUGUAAAAGUACACCCCGACGGUCUUUUGUCAGAAAAGGGCAAUAACUCCAACAAAAAAAUAAUCUUAGAGUCGUUCCCCUUUAUCAUUACAAUUCUGCUGGCAUUACUUUAAAGCGUUAAACCUGUGUCAUUAGACAAUAUAUUCAAUUUCAUACAAAACAGCGUUAAAUUAACAAGAUAGACUUUUAAAACAAUAUUCUUCCUAUUUUUACCCAAAACAUA